ACUCGUGUCGGUCAAUCGUAUCCCUGGGAUGGGAUUUUGUGGAACUUAAGUAGGGGUAUUAUGGAUAUUUCCCCACUUAUCCUAAUAAGGUCCCAUGACUUCUAACCUACUUAGGAGGUUGUUUACCCUAUUAUUCCAUUCAUUAAUACUUAGAAACUCUUCUAAACACUCAAUAAUUCUCUCAAAAGCUUUUGGGAAAGGAAAGCUAGGGUUUCAACUAGAGGAUAAUUUUGGAUGGAAU
rnacentral:lncRNA from 1 species